rnacentral:lncRNA from 1 species
UCUAUUGAUGUGGUGUUGAUGGAAACUGGUUUGAUUUUGUGUUAGGGGAAGGUCUGGGUGUGUUUGCUUGAUUUGGUUAAGGUUUUUCUGCUGUGAUUAUAUUGUAUUAAGGGUUGUUUGGGUGGUUUUGUGAUGUGGAUUUUUAGCAUUGGUUUAGUUGUCUUUAUGUAUUGUUACCUUGUGUCUUUCCCCUAUAGCCUCUUCACUUCUUGUGUUAGGUUAUCUUAUUAUGAAUAAAAUUUGCUGUUUAAAAAGAAAAUAUUAUCUACCAAGUAAAUGCUUUGUUUUAUAUUCUUGUGUAUAAUUUGGCUUGGAGGUUUUCCAUCUUUCUUAUUCUACAUUUGAAAACAUCUUUUACAUUAUCAAUUAAAUCCCGAAUGUUUGGGCAAGGUAAGAACAUAAUAUGUGUUAUAUCAAUGUAAAUUAUGAGAGAAAAUCGUGCUAUAUGUGCUCUAGAUUUGCAAAUAAAUAAAUUUAUGAUUUUGAGAUUGUGAUUAUAUUGAAUCAUUGAUUGAUCAUUUAAGAAUACUCUCGAGAAAAUUGAAAUUUGAAAUUUUUGUGUAUAAUUUGUAUAUCUUGUGUAUAAUUUGGCUUGGAGGUUUUCCAUCUUUCUUAUUCUACAUUUAAAAACGUCUUUUACAUCAUCAAUUAAAUCCCGAAUGUUUGGGCAAGGUAAGAACAUAAUAUGUGUUAUAUCAAUGUAAAUUAUGAG